UACAGAGGUUUCAAGCGUUGUUCGGAUUCAUUGGGCGUAAAGGGUGCGUAGGCGGCGCGGUAAGUCGGGUGUGAAAUCUCGGAGCUUAGCUCCGAAACUGCAUUCGAUACUGCCGUGCUUGAGGACUGGAGAGGAGACUGGAAUUUACGGUGUAGCGGUGAAAUGCGUAGAUAUCGUAAGGAAGACCAGUGGCGAAGGCGGGUCUCUGGACAGUUCCUGACGCUGAGGCACGAAGGUCAGGGGAGCAAACGGG
rnacentral:rRNA from 1 species